UAACAGGUUGAUAUUCCUGUACCACCUAUAAUCGUUUUAAUCGAUGGGGGGACGCAGUAGGAUAGGCGAAGCGUGCGAUUGGAUUGCACGUCUAAGCAGUAAGGCUGAGUAUUAGGCAAAUCCGGUACUCAUUAAGGCUGAGCUGUGAUGGGGAGAAGACAUUGUGUCUUCGAGUCGUUGAUUUCACACUGCCGAGAAAAGCCUCUAGAUAGAAAAUAGGUGCCCGUACCGCAAACCGACACAGGUAGUCAAGAUGAGAAUUCUAAGGUGAGCGAGCGAACUCUCGUUAAGGAACUCGGCAAAAUGACCCCGUAACUUCGGGAGAAGGGGUGCUCUUUAGGGUUAACGCCCAGAAGAGCCGCAGUGAAUAGGCCCAAGCGACUGUUUAUCAAAAACACAGGUCUCUGCUAAACCGUAAGGUGAUGUAUAGGGGCUGACGCCUGCCCGGUGCUGGAAGGUU
rnacentral:rRNA from 1 species